rnacentral:rRNA from 1 species
UACGGAGGGUGCAAGCGUUGUCCGGAAUCACUGGGCGUAAAGGGCGCGUAGGCGGCUCAUGAAGGCUGUGGUGAAAGUCCGGGCUCAACCUCGGAUCGGCCGUGGCGACUCGUGGCUGGAGCGACUGGUAGAGGCGGGUGGAAUUCCGGGUGUAGGCGGUGGAAUGCGUAGAGAGUCCGGAAGAACACCAGUGGCGAAGGCGGCCCGCUGGGCAGUGGCUGACGCUGAGGCGCGACGCGUGGGGAGCAAACGAGGAU